rnacentral:lncRNA from 1 species
UGGGAGUAUGCCGAACGACGUAGGUGACUGACAACUAAGAAUAAUUAUACGAGUACGAAUCAAUAACGACGUAAAAAUCCCACUAUUGUGAAGUGAGUAACCUUAUCAUCAUUUUAAUUAUCUAAAAUGGUCUUUUUAUUCGAUUCUGUGAAUUUUAUGAAAAAUGAGUUAAAUGGUUAAUUUUUAGGUUUUAUAAACAAAAUGUGUUUAAAUGAAACGAUUUUAUAAAUUGUCUUAAAAUUGAAUGAUGGCUUUGAAAAUAGAGUAACUGGAGACCACUUGAUGUGUUGUAAUUUAUGGUUUUAAUUGAUUGGCUUAUGGCAAUAUUGGCAUGAAUGUUUGAAUUGCUAAAUGUGCUGAAAAUGCAUGAAUUAUUGAUUUACCUUGAGAGGCUGUAAAAUAAAAGAAUUUCCAUGUCAUGCUAUUACAAAUUUAUUGUAUGGUGGGUUUAGCUUGUUGCAGUGGGCGGGUUUUGUGGACCAGCCUAUUAGAGGGGCACGGAAUCCGAUUAUAUUCAUACCUCAGUCGGAAAGGAGCGUAGGGUAUCUCUUGAGGCAUGGUUAGAGUUCACGUCACGCCGAACCACCUUGUGAUGAUGAACUUCGCUAACGCCAAGGAAUGAUUGUGUUUUUUUUUCAAACUAAAAAUAUGUUUAUGUGUACAUAACUUUUUAACAGCCUUGGCGGGCUCAAGUGUACGCCUCUGAUCAAGGUGUCAUCGAGUACUAUUUGAUGGCAUGAGCCAAAUGUUUAUGAAAGUCAUAAGCCUUGAUAAGAAAUUAAAUGAAAUACAACCAUUUGCAUGGGUUGGGAUGAAUUUUCAAAUUAUGAAAUACGUAAUGUGAUGG